CCCUUAGAUGUUCUGGGCAGCACGCGCGCUACAAUGGUCUUCGCAAACGGAUGCAUUCUCGAAGGAGAAUGCCAAUCUUGGAAUCUAUGCCUUGGUCGGGACAGUUGCUUGCAAUUUUUCGACUCGAACCAGGAAUUCCUUGUAAUCGUGAUUCAUCACAUCACGAUGAAUACGUCCCUGCCCCUUGUACACACCGCCCGUCGCUCCUACCGAUCGAAGAGUUAGGUGAAUUGUUUUGAUCGAUAAGAUUUGACUAUGGUCAACUCUCGUUGUGAAAUUCUGUGAAUCUGACUGUUUAGAGGAAGGAAAAGUCGUAACA
rnacentral:rRNA from 1 species